ACUCCUACGGGAGGCAGCAGUGAGGAAUAUUGGUCAAUGGGCGAGAGCCUGAACCAGCCAAGUCGCGUGAAGGAAGAAGGAUCUAUGGUUCGUAAACUUCUUUUGCAGGGGAAUAAAGUGCAGGACGUGUCCUGUUUUGUAUGUACCCUGAGAAUAAGGAUCGGCUAACUCCGUGCCAGCAGCCGCGGUAAUACGGAGGAUCCGAGCGUUAUCCGGAUUUAUUGGGUUUAAAGGGUGCGUAGGUGGUUUAAUAAGUCAGCGGUGAAAGUUUGCAGCUUAACUGUAAAAAUGCCGUUGAAACUGUUAGACUUGAGUGUAAAUGAGGUAGGCGGAAUGCGUGGUGUAGCGGUGAAAUGCUUAGAUAUCACGCAGAACUCCGAUUGCGAAGGCAGCUUACCAAGCUACAACUGACACUGAAGCACGAAAGCGUGGGGAUCAAACAGGAUUAGAUACCCUGGUAGUC
rnacentral:rRNA from 1 species